UCUCUGGUAGUAUAUCGGUGAGUACACCCGCCUGUCAAUUCAUAUCACUUUGAUCGCGGGAGAGCGGGGUUCGACUCCCCGCCAGAGAG